rnacentral:misc_RNA from 1 species
GUUGAAGAACGCAGCGAAAUGCGAUAAGUAAUGUGAAUUGCAGAAUUCAGUGAAUCAUCGAAUCUUUGAACGCACAUUGCGCCCUCUGGUAUUCCGGGGGGCAUGCCUGUUCGAGCGUCAUUACAACCCUCAAGCUUUGCUUGGUAUUGGACAUUGCCAGUUUCUGGCAGGUCUUAAAAUCAGUGGCGGUGCCAUUUGGCUUCAAGCGUAGUAAUUCUUCUCGCUUUGGAGAUCCAAGUGGUUACUUGCCAAUAACCCCCAAUUUUUUCAGGUUGACCUCGGAUCAGGUAGGGAUACCCGCUGAACUUAAGCAUAUCAAUAAGCGGAGGA